rnacentral:lncRNA from 1 species
CAGAGGAAGCCAGUCGACACUGAGAGGGAAGAGUAAAGCCAGAGAUAAGCGAGAAGAAAGUCCUGAGGGUGAAUAAGGCGCUCACUUGGUUUAAGAUGAAAAAGUUACGGUGACUGCCCUCCAGAGCGACAACCUAGAAAAAGGAGAGACGUGGUGGGAGAGCGAGAAGACGGCGGGUGCAGCGCCAGGAGGCUGUGGCACCAAGUAGCGCGACCUCGAAAUCAGAGUGCAGGACCCAGAACAGAGCGGCGGGUGCGGGACCGCAAAGCUUCGGUCACAGACUUUGGGCUUCACCACCAUGUGACUUGCUUUGAUCAAUGGAAUGUGAGUGGAUGUGAUAGUAUUCCAGUUCCUAAACGAGACUUUAUGAUGUGAUGUGUGUUACCAACUGCUUUCUUGCACUCCUGCUCUGCACCAAGAGAAUAUCCCAAGUAGGUGGCACUCUUUCGACUUUGGCCCUGGAAUGAAAAGACACAUGGAGCAGACCUGAACCUACCUGCAGCCUCGAUUAGAACUGUAGCAGCAAUGUGUGAUGAAAAGGAAG